CCUACGGGGGGCAGCAGUGGGGAAUAUCGGACAAUGGGCGAAAGCCUGAUCCAGCCAUGCCGCGUGUGUGAAGAAGGCCUUCGGGUUGUAAAGCACUUUCAGUGGGGAAGAAAGCCUUGGGGCUAAUACCCUCGAGGAAGGACAUCACCCACAGAAGAAGCACCGGCUAACUCCGUGCCAGCAGCCGCGGUAAUACGGAGGGUGCGAGCGUUAAUCGGAAUUACUGGGCGUAAAGCGCGCGUAGGCGGUCUGAUAAGCCGGUUGUGAAAGCCCCGGGCUCAACCUGGGAACGGCAUCCGGAACUGUCAGGCUAGAGUGCAGGAGAGGAAGGUAGAAUUCCCGGUGUAGCGGUGAAAUGCGUAGAGAUCGGGAGGAAUACCAGUGGCGAAGGCGGCCUUCUGGACUGACACUGACGCUGAGGUGCGAAAGCGUGGGUAGCAAACAGGAUUAGAUACCCUGGUAGUC
rnacentral:rRNA from 1 species